rnacentral:rRNA from 1 species
UACAGAGGGUGCAAGCGUUAAUCGGAUUUACUGGGCGUAAAGGGUGCGUAGGUGGCUAUUUAAGUCGGAUGUGAAAGCCCGGGGCUCAACCUCGGAAUUGCAUUCGAUACUGAGUGGCUAGAGUUCGGUAGAGGGCGGCGGAAUUUCCGGUGUAGCGGUGAAAUGCGUAGAUAUCGGAAGGAACAUCAAUGGCGAAGGCAGCCGCCUGGGCAGUAACUGACGCUGAGGAGCGAAAGCGUGGGGAGCAAACAGG